CGAGAGGGUUACAUGAACUGCUAACUCUUUAACCUG
rnacentral:tRNA from 1 species